GACGAACGCUGGCGGCGUGCUUAACACAUGCGAGUCGAACGGAAAGGCCCUGCUUUUGUGGGGUGCUCGAGUGGCGAACGGGUGAGUAACACGUGAGUAACCUGCCCUUGACUUUGGGAUAACUUCAGGAAACUGGGGCUAAUACCGGAUAGGAGCUCCUGCUGCAUGGUGGGGGUUGGAAAGUUUCGGCGGUUGGGGAUGGACUCGCGGCUUAUCAGCUUGUUGGUGGGGUAGUGGCUUACCAAGGCUUUGACGGGUAGCCGGCCUGGGAGGGUGACCGGCCACAUUGGGACUGGGAUACGGCCCAGACUCCUACGGGAGGCAGCAGUGGGGAAUAUUGCACAAUGGGCGGAAGCCUGAUGCAGCAACGCCGCGUGCGGGAUGACGGCCUUCGGGUUGUAAACCGCUUUCGCCUGUGACGAAGCGUGAGUGACGGUAAUGGGUAAAGAAGCACCGGCUAACUACGU
rnacentral:rRNA from 1 species